AAUACAAUUCUAGCAUGGAUAAUAAACGAUUAUCAUGAACAAGGAAAUAUAAUAAUAAUCAAUUUAUUAUUGCCUCUAGGGCAUAUUUCCAACACCGCCACCGCAUCCCCAUGCCCAGCUACCGACGAACCCGUGUGGCCGAUAGCAUCCCCGGUAUCCACCCAGCCUCCCUCCACCGACUGCGCUGCCCCCAAUCCGAACACAGAUUCUCCAGGGCCCACCACCACCACACAUGCUGCCUCGUCUGUUCCGCCCUCCCCAGGUUCCGCUACCCCUAAUCCCCACACCGAUUCUCUAGGGCCCACCACCACACCCAUGCAUCCUUCGCAUGCAACUUCAUCCCCUUCCCAUGCUUCGCCUCCUUCCCCGUCCAGACAGCCUACACCGCUAUCAUCUACCCCUCUUUCUUCUUCUCCACAACCACGUCCAUUACCACCUGCUGCCAUUCCCGUUCCUAUUCCCACCAAUGCGCAUACCAUGUGUACUCGCAGCAAGGCAAGGUUCGGUCAACCUUCCAAACGCCUCAACCUCACUGCGUCCCCUACUUCUCUCUCUCCCAUACCUAACUCCUACAAAGCUGCUCUUCUCGAUCCUAACUGGUUCAACACCAUGCGCGAGGAAUACGAUGCUCUUCUCCUGAACAAUACCUGGUCUCUCAUCCCUCAUCCCGUUGGUGCUAAUGUUGUUUCCGACAAAUGGGUUUUUCGGCACAAGUUCAACUCACACGGCUCUCUUUCUCGCUACAAAGCUCGUUGGGUAUGUCGUGGUGAUUCCCAACAGGCCGGUGUUGAUUUCGACAAGACUUUCUCUCCUGUAAUUAAGCCAAGCACGAUUCGCGUUGUUCUCAGCCUUGCUAUUUCCUCCUCAUGGCCCAUUCAUCAGUUAGAUGUGAAGAAUGCCUUUCUACAUGGAUCUCUCACCGAAACAAUUUUUUGCCAGCAACCCCUCGGAUUCGUUAAUCCGUCUCUUCCCGAUCACGUAUGCCACCUGCAGAAAUCCCUAUAUGGUAUAAAACAGGCGCCCCGCGCUUGGUUUCAACGAUUCGCCACGUUCUUGCACACCAUUGGUUUCCUUCCUUCUCGUUCUGACUCCUCUCUCUUCAUUCUCAAAACACCCAACCACAUUGCUUAUUUUCUUUUAUAUGUUGAUGACAUUGUCCUCACUGCCUCCUCUGAUGCUUUUUUACACCACAUUAUUCGCUCACUACGCCACGAGUUCAACAUGACAGACCUUGGAUCUCUCCAUCAUUUGCUUGGCAUUGCCGUAUCUAGAUCUUCCUCCGGUCUCUUUCUUUCUCAGCGUCAGUAUGCACUAGAUCUUCUCUCUAAGGCCGGCAUGUCUGGCUGUCAUCCCUCCCGCACUCCCGCUGAAACUGGUUGUAAACUUUCUUCUGAUGGCAAACCUUUCUCCGAUCCUACUCUCUAUCGCAGCCUCACAGGAGCUCUUCAAUACAUGACUCUCACUCGCCCUGAACUCACCUAUGCCAUUCAACAAGCCUGUCUACAUAUGCAUGACCCACGUGUUCCUCACUACAAUCAUGUCAAACGCAUUCUGCGCUACCUCAAAGGGACUCUUGACCACGGUCUCUCUAUCACACAUUCCGCUCCAACUUCUCUCACAACGUACUCCGAUGCCGACUGGGCUGGAUGCCCAGAUACUCGUAGGUCUACCUCUGGUUAUUGUGUGUACUUGGGUGAUAACUUGAUUUCAUGGUCUUCGAAGAGACAGCUCACUGUUUCCAGGUCAUCCGCUGAAGCCGAGUACCGCUCUGUCGCACACGCUGUUGCCGAAACUGUAUGGCUUCGUCAACUACUCAGCGAGCUGCACCGACCUCUUCAACAAGCUACACUCGUCUACUGUGAUAAUUUUUCUGCCGUGUACAUGUCUUGUAAUCCUGUGCAACACCGUAGAACUAAGCAUAUAGAGAUAGACAUCCACUUUGUUAGGAAGAAGGUAGCUCUCGGUGAUGUUCGUGUCAUGCACGUUCCUACAAGUGCUCAAUUCGCCGACAUCUUCACCAAG
rnacentral:rRNA from 1 species